CCAAGACCAGGCCACAACAACAAGCCUUUAUUAGGGGAAUAGAUCUGCCGGGGCUGUCUCUGAACAAAGGAGAGACAAAAGCAAUAUGGCCGGGGCAGGGAAGAGUCCUUUAUAGAGACUGGGGUGGGGUUUGUAGGGGCUGAGGCGGGGUUGAGUGAGGUAGUGACUAGGGAAUGGAGGAGCCGGUGAUGUCACUAGGAGGUAGGAGGUGAGCGAGUAUUAGGUUACUCUCUAGGCGGGAACAGGGGCAUGCUGGGAAGAAGGGUUUAUUCUUUGAUGGGAGCAGCCAUCUUGGCAUGACGUCACAGAGGGGAGGGGGCAAGGCACGACGGGAAGAGGGCAACUGCUGUACAUAAUAGCUGCUGAGGUGGUGGGAGACCUAUCACCUUCCCCACAUGGAGACUUUCACUGCAGUCCUGCCUGGCUGGGGAGCUGCAAGUCAGAUUGAGAGAUGAUCACCAGUUAAUGCAAAAAAUCGCUAAAUGGCACUUCAUGCUCCUCAGGUUUCUGGGUGGAGGAGAAAGGAGUCUUUAGUCUUCAGAAUUGUUUCUGAAAGGACAGCUCGGAAGAAAAGGUGUCUUCAUCCUGCUGGCCUGUAAGGAUCUACACAGUGAUGCUCCACGGCCAAGGGGGACAUAGUUGUUCAACUACGUAAGGAAACAAGACAACAGAAACGACAACCAACAGGAUCGCAAG
rnacentral:lncRNA from 1 species